UACGUAGGCAGCGAGCGUUGUUCGGAAUUACUGGGCGUAAAGAGUGUGUAGGCGGUGCUCUAAGUUCGGUGUGAAAUCUCCUGGCUCAACUGGGAGGGUGCGCCGGAAACUGGAGUGCUUGAGCGUGGGAGAGGAAAGCGGAAUUCCUGGUGUAGCGGUGAAAUGCGCAGAUAUCAGGAGGAACACCGGUGGCGAAGGCGGGUCUCUGGGCCGUAACUGACGCUGAGGAGCGAAAGCGUGGGGAGCGAACAGG
rnacentral:rRNA from 1 species